rnacentral:rRNA from 1 species
UACGGAGGGUGCAAGCGUUAUCCGGAUUUACUGGGUUUAAAGGGUGUGUAGGCGGACUUUUAAGUCCGUGGUGAAAUCUCCGGGCUCAACCCGGAAACUGCCAUGGAUACUAUUGGUCUUGAAUAUUGUUGAGGUGGGCGGAACGGGUCAUGUAGCGGUGAAAUGCAUAGAUAUGACUCGGAACACCGAUUGCGAAGGCAGCCCACUAAGCAAUGAUUGACGCUGAGGCACGAAAGCGUGGGGAUCAAACAGG